UUAUUAUCAUCUAAUAUUUGAAAGACAAGUGAAUAAUUAGAUUGAUUUUAUUUUGUUAGUGUUGUAUCCACUCCCCAGAAGUCUAUGGCAGAUGGAUAAUAAACCUAUAAAGCUUUAUUUGUGUCAUUCUGUCAUGGCAGCAUUGCUUCUGCACCAUUGUACCACAACAAUUUUGCGAAGUAUGCAAAUCAUAUAAGAAAGAAUCUAGUGUAGCAACCAAUCACUAUCAGAAAAAAAGAUGUUGUGUAAUCUUGUGAUGCAAAUAUUUGUUUUUAUUUUAUCAUUGAUGUGAGAAUUUCUAACAAGGAUUAAGUUGUGUUUACACAGGUCAAGCAGUCUGAGACGGAG
rnacentral:misc_RNA from 1 species